UACGAAGGGGGCUAGCGUUGUUCGGAAUUACUGGGCGUAAAGCGUGCGCAGGCGGCCUUCCAAGUCAGGGGUGAAAGCCCAGAGCUCAACUCUGGAAUUGCCUUUGAGACUGUGAGGCUUGAGUACGGGAGAGGUGAGUGGAAUUCCCAGUGUAGAGGUGAAAUUCGUAGAUAUUCGCAAGAACACCAGUGGCGAAGGCGGCUCACUGGCCCGAUACUGACGCUGAGGCACGAAAGCGUGGGGAGCAAACAGGG
rnacentral:rRNA from 1 species